AUGUUACAAAAUUUUAAAUCAGUGGAAAUCAACUCUGAGUAUAGUCUUAAAUACAGGUUCUUAGUUCCAUUGAGGACCUGCACAGGAAGAAAAACAUCAAUCUGUAAGUCCUGUUACAAAAUUAUAAAUCAGUGAAAAUCAACUGAGUACGCUCAUAAAUAUAGGUUCUUAGUUCUAUUAAGGACUUCAUAUUAUUUAGCAAGCUCUAAACUGAUGAUAGAAAGAGGUUUAGUGUAAAUUUAGAGAUAUAUGUUUUGCUAUACAUGUAAUUUUUGGAUUCCAAAUCCCCCCACCACACACACACAAUGGAGAUGAAACACGAAUAAAAUGGUGGGCUUAGCAGCAUUUUUAGCCGGGCUCAUACCCCUUCUCUGAGACAAAGCUUUGCAUGAGCAGACUAUUCCUGUAAACUUUUCGGAAGAAUUGACAUGGCAUACCCGCUCUCAAAAUAAUAGCCG
rnacentral:lncRNA from 1 species